AUUGAACGCUGGCGGCAGGCUUAACACAUGCAAGUCGAGCGGGGUGAGGUGCUUCGGUACUGAUCCUAGCGGCGGACGGGUGAGUAAUGCUUAGGAAUCUGCCUAUUAGUGGGGGACAACAUUCCGAAAGGAAUGCUAAUACCGCAUACGUCCUACGGGAGAAAGCAGGGGAUCUUCGGACCUUGCGCUAAUAGAUGAGCCUAAGUCGGAUUAGCUAGUUGGUGGGGUAGAGGCCUACCAAGGCGACGACCUGUAGCGGGUCUGAGAGGAUGAUCCGGCACACUGGGACUGAGACACGGCCCAGACUCCUACGGGAGGCAGCAGUGGGGAAUAUUGGACAAUGGGCGGAAGCCUGAUCCAGCCAUGCCGCGUGUGUGAAGAAGGCCUUUUGGUUGUAAAGCACUUUAAGCGAGGAGGAGGCUACCUAGAUUAAUACUCUGGGAUAGUGGACGUUACUCGCAGAAUAAGCACCGGCUAACUCUGUGCCAGCCGCCGCAGUAACAC
rnacentral:rRNA from 1 species